rnacentral:rRNA from 1 species
GACGAACGCUGGCGGCGUGCUUAACACAUGCAAGUCGAACGGAAAGGCCUCUUUCGGGGGGUACUCGAGUGGCGAACGGGUGAGUAACACGUGAGUAACCUGCCCUUGACUUUGGGAUAACUUCAGGAAACUGGGGCUAAUACCGGAUAGGAGCUCCUGCUGCAUGGUGGGGGUUGGAAAGUUUCGGCGGUUGGGGAUGGACUCGCGGCUUAUCAGCUUGUUGGUGGGGGAGUGGCUUACCAAGGCUUUGACGGGUAGCCGGCCUGAGAGGGUGACCGGCGACAUUGGGACUGAGAUACGGCCCAGACUCCUACGGGAGGCAGCAGUGGGGAAUAUUGCACAAUGGGUGGAAGCCUGAUGCAGCAACGCCGUGUGCGGGAUGACGGCCGUCGGGUUGUAAACCGCUUUCGCUCAUGACGAAGCUUUGUGUGACGGUAGUGGGUAAAGAAGCACCGGCUAACUACGUG